CCUACGGGUGGCAGCAGUGGGGAAUAUUGCACAAUGGGGGGAACCCUGAUGCAGCAACGCCGCGUGGGUGAAGAAGUACUCCGGUAUGUAAAGCCCUGUCAGCAGGGAAGAAAAUGACGGUACCUGACCAAGAAGCCCCGGCUAACUACGUGCCAGCAGCCGCGGUAAUACGUAGGGGGCAAGCGUUAUCCGGAUUUACUGGGUGUAAAGGGAGCGUAGACGGCAAGGCAAGUCUGGAGUGAAAGCCCGGGGCCCAACCACGGGACUGCUUUUGAAACUGUGUUGCUGGAGUGCAGGAGGGGUAAGCGGAAUUCCUAGUGUAGCGGUGAAAUGCGUAGAUAUUAGGAGGAACACCGGUGGCGAAGGCGGCUUACUGGACUGUAACUGACGUUGAGGCUCGAAGGCGUGGGGAGCAAACAGGAUUAGAUACCCUUGUAGUC
rnacentral:rRNA from 1 species